rnacentral:rRNA from 1 species
UACAGAGGUCCCGAGCGUUGUUCGGAUUCAUUGGGCGUAAAGGGUGCGUAGGCGGUCUGCUAAGUUUGAUGUGAAAUCCCGGGGCUCAACCCUGGAAUGGCAUUGAAUACUGGCGGACUAGAGUACUGGAGAGGAAACUGGAAUUUACGGUGUAGCAGUGAAAUGCGUAGAGAUCGUAAGGAAGACCAGUGGCGAAGGCGAGUUUCUGGACAGUAACUGACGCUGAGGCACGAAGGCCAGGGGAGCAAACGGG